AGUACGGAAUACACAAAAACAGAGACUCUGCCUGUUCCUUCUUCACAAGUACAUGCUAUAACUUCGAACGGUGAAAUUGCUGUCCGUGGAAACUGCUCUCGAGAUUAUCCCCUCAACCGCUUGCCGUAUGGGGUAAACCGAGACCUCCUUUGACUGCACCUUAUGGAACACUGAGCGAUGCAACGGCAGUCUCCCUCCGCAUCUAGAAGGCAACAAUUCGGCAAUUCCACCAUCAUCGUUGUCAGUGAGGGGAGCCCUUAUCAGAGACCCAAAAAACAACAGCUGUCCUCAGAUUAUCAUAACAUGGUCAACAGC